CAGCUCAGGUUUCUCUUCAUUAUUGUGUAAAUUUUUCACCUUUUAUUAAAGAUUUUCAUGGAGAGGAAUGUUAAUGAGUUCAAUGUAUUUUUGCUAGUUUUGCUCUGGCAGAGCU